AUUGAACGCUGGCGGAAUGCUUUACACAUGCAAGUCGAACGGUAGAGGGGGCAACCCCUCGAGAGUGGCGAACGGAUGAGUAAUAUAUCGGAACGUGCCCAGUCGUGGGGGAUAACGUAGCGAAAGUUACGCUAAUACCGCAUACGAUCUAAGGAUGAAAGCGGGGGAUCGCAAGACCUCGCGCGAUUGGAGCGGCCGAUAUCAGAUUAGGUAGUUGGUGGGGUAAAGGCUCACCAAGCCAACGAUCUGUAGCUGGUCUGAGAGGACGACCAGCCACACUGGAACUGAAACACGAUCCAGACUCCUACGGGAGGCAGCAGUGGGGAAUUUUGGACAAUGGACGCAAGUCUGAUCCAGCCAUUCCGCGUGCAGGAUGAAGGCCCUCGGGUUGUAAACUGCUUUUGUACGGAACGAAAAGGUCUCUCUUAAUACGGGGGACUCAUGACGGUACCGUAAGAAUAAGCACCGGCUAACUACGUGCCAGCCGCCGCCGUAA
rnacentral:rRNA from 1 species